rnacentral:rRNA from 1 species
GAUGAACGCUGGCGGCGUGCCUAAUACAUGCAAGUCGAGCGAACAGACGAGGAGCUUGCUCCUUUGACGUUAGCGGCGGACGGGUGAGUAACACGUGGGUAACCUACCUAUAAGACUGGGAUAACUUCGGGAAACCGGAGCUAAUACCGGAUAAUAUUUCGAACCGCAUGGUUCGAUAGUGAAAGAUGGCUUUGCUAUCACUUAUAGAUGGACCUGCGCCGUAUUAGCUAGUUGGUAAGGUAACGGCUUACCAAGGCAACGAUACGUAGCCGACCUGAGAGGGUGAUCGGCCACACUGGAACUGAGACACGGUCCAGACUCCUACGGGAGGCAGCAGUAGGGAAUCUUCCGCAAUGGGCGAAAGCCUGACGGAGCAACGCCGCGUGAGUGAUGAAGGUCUUCGGAUCGUAAAACUCUGUUAUUAGGGAAGAACAAACGUGUAAGUAACUGUGCACGUCUUGACGGUACCUAAUCAGAAAGCCACGGCUAACUACGUGCCAGCAGCCGCGGUAAUACGUAGGUGGCAAGCGUUAUCCGGAAAUAUUGGGCGUAAAGCGCGCGUAGGCGGUUUUUUAAGUCUGAUGUGAAAGCCCACGGCUCAACCGUGGAGGGUCAUUGGAAACUGGAAAACUUGAGUGCAGAAGAGGAAAGUGGAAUUCCAUGUGUAGCGGUGAAAUGCGCAGAGAUAUGGAGGAACACCAGUGGCGAAGGCGACUUUCUGGUCUGUAACUGACGCUGAUGUGCGAAAGCGUGGGGAUCAAACAGGAUUAGAUACCCUGGUAGUCCACGCCGUAAACGAUGAGUGCUAAGUGUUAGGGGGUUUCCGCCCCUUAGUGCUGCAGCUAACGCAUUAAGCACUCCGCCUGGGGAGUACGACCGCAAGGUUGAAACUCAAAGGAAUUGACGGGGACCCGCACAAGCGGUGGAGCAUGUGGUUUAAUUCGAAGCAACGCGAAGAACCUUACCAAAUCUUGACAUCCUUUGCUCCUUCUAGAGAUAGAAGUUUCCCCUUCGGGGGACAAAGUGACAGGUGGUGCAUGGUUGUCGUCAGCUCGUGUCGUGAGAUGUUGGGUUAAGUCCCGCAACGAGCGCAACCCUUAAGCUUAGUUGCCAUCAUUAAGUUGGGCACUCUAAGUUGACUGCCGGUGACAAACCGGAGGAAGGUGGGGAUGACGUCAAAUCAUCAUGCCCCUUAUGAUUUGGGCUACACACGUGCUACAAUGGACAAUACAAAGGGCAGCGAAACCGCGAGGUCAAGCAAAUCCCAUAAAGUUGUUCUCAGUUCGGAUUGUAGUCUGCAACUCGACUACAUGAAGCUGGAAUCGCUAGUAAUCGUAGAUCAGCAUGCUACGGUGAAUACGUUCCCGGGUCU